UUCAGUAUUGGUUCUAUGCUUCUAUUAUGGCGGUACACUUUGAAUGUCUUCUUUUGUUUCAAUGCUCAGUUUGAUUGUUGGGACAUCAGGAUUGUUGGUUUCGAAGCUGCUAGUAAUUACUUAUCAUAAUUUCCUGCAAAAUACUUGAAAGAAAAACCAAGGGAGAAUCAUUAGUUUUGUCUAAUGUUUGCAGGAUAAAGCAAGCUUUGAAUAGGAUAAUAUGCUUGUCUAACAUCUUCAUUGUCAAAUUAAAAAUGCAAUAAAAUCGUUGUUUUAGAAAGAUGUUUUGCAUUCAAUAGAAAAGAGGGAAUGAUAUUAUCUUGAAUGAGUCACCUAGAUGGGAAAGAAUACAAAACAAGAUUGGUGAGAUGCUUAAAUGGAAAGAGCAAGAAUUUCUUUCUCUCUGUCUUGUCUGUAUUUUACAGAACAUCAACUAUAUCAAGUUUAGAGAUUCAACAUUGGUGUAUGACAUUGAAUGUACUAGAUAGGUUUUAUUUUCUUUAUGAUGCUGUCGACUUUGUAUCAUAUUGCUGAAUCGAAUUUAUUUGUGACUUGAGUUAUUACGAUGUGCUUCGUCUAAAAUAGACGGACCUUUGUCAUUGGGCUAACACCAGUAACUUCCAAACAGGAUGUGGACUUGCAUGGUGAAUAGAUUUUGGGGAAAAUGUGACAUACCAAUUGUAGCAAUGGGAACGGUAAAUAACUCUUACCAUUUUAUCAGUGUUCUCUGAUUGUUCCUUACUUAGCAUGUCUCAUUGGGCAGUUCCCAACGGGUCUGGCAUUGGCAAUUGAGAAGAAAAGUAGGCGGAUCGAGAUAUCACUCUACUGCGUUGCACGAGCCAUAGAGAGCUUGUUUACAUGCAUGGCAGAUGUUGGGUAUUUGCCGAAGUCAAUGAAUCUGAAGAGGGCUGAUGUGGUAAUAUUUAGCUUGUCAACAGCGAUAAUAAUGCACUGCUACGCACAGGAGAGGGAAGUGUUCCGUUCCAAGUACUUAAGUGUUCUUGAUUGGGUCUUUGGUGUGCCCCCUCCCCCAUGUGAAACUCCUCCCUGCAAAAACAGAUGAGCAGUUCGCAGGGCUUUGGACUCAG
rnacentral:lncRNA from 1 species